AUUGAACGCUGGCGGCAUGCCUUACACAUGCAAGUCGAACGGUAACAGGUCUUCGGAUGCUGACGAGUGGCGAACGGGUGAGUAAUACAUCGGAACGUGCCCGAGAGUGGGGGAUAACGAGGCGAAAGCUUUGCUAAUACCGCAUACGAUCUCAGGAUGAAAGCAGGGGACCGCAAGGCCUUGCGCUCACGGAGCGGCCGAUGGCAGAUUAGGUAGUUGGUGGGAGAAAAGGUUACCAAGCCGACGAUCGGUAGCUGGUCUAAGAGGACGACCAGCCACACUGGGACUGGGACACGGCCCAGACUCCUACGGGAGGCAGCAGUGGGGAAUUUUGGACAAUGGGCGCACGCCUGAUCCAGCCAGGCCGCGUGCAGGAUGAAGGCCUUCGGGUUGUAAACUGCUUUUGUACGGAACGAAAAGACUCUGGUUAAUACCUGGGGUCCAUGACGGUACCGUAAGAAUAAGCACCGGCUAACUACGUGCCAGCAGCCGCAGUAACAC
rnacentral:rRNA from 1 species